GCUUUGGUGGGGUAGUGGUAACCUGGGUCGUUGCCAUAUCAACCUUAUUCGACCCGCCGGGGGUUUGAUUCCCUCCCAAAGCA